rnacentral:misc_RNA from 1 species
GAUGAAGAACGCAGCGAAAUGCGAUAAGUAGUGUGAAUUGCAGAAUUCAGUGAAUCAUCGAAUCUUUGAACGCACAUUGCGCCCCAUGGUAUUCCGUGGGGCAUGCCUGUUCGAGCGUCAUUUACCCCCUCAAGCUCCGCUUGGUGUUGGGCGUCUGUCCCGCUUCGCGCGCGGACUCGCCCCAAAGGUAUUGGCAGCGGUCGUGCCAGCUUCUCGCGCAGCACAUUGCGCUUCUCGAGGCACCGGUGGGCCCGCGUCCAUCAAGCUCACACCCCCAGUUUGACCUCGGAUCAGGUAGGGAUACCCGCUGAACUUAAGCAUAUCAAUAAGCGGAGGA